AGCAGCCGCGGUAAUUCCAGCUCCAAUAGCGUAUAUUAAAGUUGUUGCAGUUAAAAAGCUCGUAGUUGAAUUUCGGGGUUCUACCAUUGGUCGGGCAAUAGUCUGUACUGGCGUGUAGAAUUUCUACCUUCUGGGGAACCAUCAUGUUAUUUAUUUAGCGUGGUGGGAAACCAGGACCUUUACCUUGAAAAAAUUAGAGUGUUCAAAGCAGGCUUACGUCUGAAUACAUUAGCAUGGAAUAAUAAAAUAGGACGGUGGUCCUGUUUUGUUGGUUUCUGAAUCACCGUAAUGAUUAAUAGGGAUAGUUGGGGGCAUUAGUAUUCAAUUGUCAGAGGUGAAAUUCUUGGAUUUAUUGAAGACUAACUUCUGCGAAAGCAUUUGCCAAGGAUGUUUUCAUUAAUCAAGAACGAAAGUUAGGGGAUCGAAGACGAUCAGAUACCGUCGUAGUCUUAACCAUAAACUAUGCCGACUAGGGAUCGGACGAUGUUAAUUUUUCUUGACUCGUUCGGCGCCUUACGGG
rnacentral:rRNA from 1 species